rnacentral:rRNA from 1 species
AUGUCGUCUUGCACCGAUGGGCUGCUCGAUCCUCCGAUCAUCUUGGCUCGCAUGCUCGCAACGAUCUGCGAUCGUGUGUGUUGGGAGUGGCCUACAUCUGAUGGGAUGCCCAAGGUUCCGAACUUGUCGUCGCAGUACAUCGUGCUGAUCCGGUACAGUUGCUGCAUGCUGAGAUCACUAAGGUCCAGACUUACCGGGCAGAAAUCAUCGGUGAUCUCUUUGAGAGACUUGUUGUGCUUCUCUUCGAGUAUUAAGAGCGUGACCGCCUGCCGAAUAUGCUUCAGUUCAUCCCAGGAUGAACCUGCAUAUGAAACAAUGGGGGAGAAAUGUUGUCACCUCUUCCGUUAG